CGCAAUGGGCGAAAGCCUGACGGAGCAACGCCGCGUGAGGGAUGAAGGCCUCUGGGCUGUAAACCUCUUUUCUCAAGGAAGAAGAUCUGACGGUACUUGAGGAAUAAGCCACGGCUAAUUCCGUGCCAGCAGCCGCGGUAAUACGGGAGUGGCAAGCGUUAUCCGGAAUUAUUGGGCGUAAAGCGUCCGCAGGCGGCCUUGUAAGUCUGUCGUUAAAGCGUGGAGCUUAACUCCAUUUCAGCGAUGGAAACUCCAAGGCUUGAGUGUGGUAGGGGCAGAGGGAAUUCCCGGUGUAGCGGUGAAAUGCGUAGAUAUCGGGAAGAACACCAGUGGCGAAGGCGCUCUGCUGGGCCGAUCCAUCGCCUUCAUCGGAUGGCACCCG
rnacentral:rRNA from 1 species